rnacentral:misc_RNA from 1 species
UUAAGUUCAGCGGGUGGUCCUACUCGAUUUGAGGUCAAGUUGUCAGUCGUUGUCGGAAAGACGGUUGGGAGCACAGAGCUCCUGAUCAGCCACCCUCUUGCGAGGUGCCGGCGAAGACACUUAUCACGCCGUACUAUGUCCAACCAGGAGUUGCACUAACGCAUUUGAGGUGAGCCACCAUAAGGCAGCAGGCACCCAAG